AACCACACACACAACACACACACACAAACAGGAGUUUGCAACAAAGACAGUAGGUACUUAUUCGUUUCAGAAAAUGGCACCAAGCCCAGAGACACAGGCAGAUAAGCUCGCGCUCUGAGACCCGGCUCCGGGGGUACGUCAUUCUUGAGCCCAGCCAGCCAGUUCCCUGUUUCGGUUCGCCGGUUAAGACGGAGCAUCUACUUGGGUUCCGGAGAACAAAGUCACCUCUACGACAUUCUUCCCCUGUCAGUCACGUUUAUCAAUGCACUGUCACACACGCCAUCUUCCUUUCGUCCUCGCAACCACUCAGGGGAAGGUGCUGCUAGUCUUACUCGGCAGAUGAGAAAACCAGGCUAAAAAGACUUAUCUGGCCCUGG